CUCUCUUUGCCUGCCACCAUCCACGUAAGACCUGACUUACUCCUCCUUGCCUUCUGCCAUGAUUGUGAGGCCUCCCCAGCCCUGCGGAACUGUGAGUCCAUUAAACCUCUUUUUCCUUAUAAAUUACCCUGUCUCAGGUAUGACUUUAUCAGCAGCGUGAGAACAGACUAAUACAGUAAAUUGGUACCAGUAGAGUGGAGCACUGCUGUAAAGAAAACUGAAAACAUGGAAGUGACUUUGGAACUGGGUAACAGGCAGAGGGUGGAACAGUUCAGAGGGCUCGGAAGGAGACAGAAAAACGUGGGAAAGUUUGGAACUCCCUGGAGACUUGUUGAAUGGCUUUGACCAAAAUGCUGGUAAUGAUAGGAACAAUGAAAUCCAGGCUGAGGUGUUCUCAGAUGAAGAUGAGGAACUUGUUGGGAACUGGAGCAAAGGUGACCCUUGUUAUGUUUUAGCAAAGAGACGGGCAGCAUUUUAUCCCUGCUCUAGAGAUUUGUGGAACUUUGAACUUGAGAGAGUUGAUUUAGCGUAUCUGGCAGAAGAAAUUUCUAAACAAAGCAUUCAAGGGUUGACUUGGGUGCUGUUAAAGCCAUUCAGUUUUAAAGGGGAAGCAGAUCAUAAAAGUUCUGAAAAUUUCCAGCCUGACAAUGUGAUAGACAAAAACUGAUUUUCUGAGGAGAAAUUCAAGCUGGCUGCAUAAAUUUGCAUAAGUAAUGAGAAGCUGAAUGUUAAUCCCCAAGAAAAUGGGGAAAAUAUCUUCAGGGCAUGUCAGAGAUUCUUGUAGCAGCCCCUCCCACCACAGACCCAAAGGGCUAGGAAAAACAAAAUGGUUUGUGGGCCCGUCUCAGGGUCCCUCUUCUUUGUGCAGUCUAGGAAUUGGUGCCCAGUGUCCCAGUCACUCCUGCCAUGACUAAAAGGGGUCAAGAACAGCUCGGGUGUGGCUUCAGAGCAUGCAAGCCCCAUGCCUUGGCAGCUUCCACAUGGUGUUGAGCCUGUGGGUGCACAAAAGUCAAGAAUUGAGGUUUGGGAACCUCAGCCUACAUUUCAGAGGAUGUAUGGAAAUUCCUGGAUGUCCACACAGAAGUUUACUGUAGGGACAUGGCGCUCAUGGAGAACCUCUGCUAGAGCAGUGCAAAAAUGAAAAUGUGGGGUCAGAGCCCUCCCACAGAGUUCCUACUAGGGAAUCACCUAGUGGUGCUGUGAGAAUAGGGCCACCAUCUGUCCUCCAGACCCUAGAAUGGUAGAUCAACCAAGAGCUUGCACCAUUUGCCUGGAAAAGGUGCAGAUGCUCAAUGCCAGCCCAUUGAAAGCAGCCCGUAGGGAGGCUGUACCCUGCAAAGCCACAAGUGCAGAGCUGCCUAAGACCAUAUGGAACCCAUCUCUUGCAUCAGCAUCACCCGGAUGAUACAUGAGGUCAAAGGAGAUGAUUUUGGAGCUUUAAUAUUUGACUGCCCCAAUGGAUUUUGGACUUGCACGGGGCCUGUAGCCCCUUUGUUUUGGACCAUUUAUCCUAUUUGGAAUGGCUGUAUUUACCUAACGCUUUUUGCCGUUAUUGUAUCUAGGAAGUAGUUAACUUGCUUUUGAUUUUACAGGCUCAUAGGCAGGAGGGACUUGCCUUGUCUCAGAUGAGACUUUGGACUGUGAACUUCUGAGAUCUCUGAAAUGAGUUAAGACUUUGGGGGACUGUUGGGAAGGCAUGAUUAUUUUUUAAAUGUGAAGACAUGAGAUUUGGGAGGGACCAGAGGUGGAAUGAUAUAGUUUGGCUGUUUCUCAACCUAAAUUGUAUCAUGAAUUGCCAUGUGUUGUGGGAGGAAGCCGGUGGGAGGUAAUUGAAUCAUGGGGGUGGGUCUUUCCCAUACUAUUCUCAUGACGGUUAAUAAGCCACAGGAUCUCAUUUCUUUUUUUUUUUUUUUUUUUUUUUUUUUUUGAGACAGAGUCUUACUCUAUUACUCAGGCUGGAGUGCAGUGGCACGAUCUUGGCUCACUGCAACUUCUGCCUCCUGGGUUCAAGCAGCAAUUCUCCUGACUCCGCCUCCCGAGUAGCUGGGACUACAGGCGUGCUCCAUCACGCCUGGCUAAUUUUUUUAUUUUUAGUAGAGAUGGGGUUUCCCCAUGUUGAGCAGGCUGGUCCCAAGCUCCUGACCUCAGGUGAUCCAACCUCCCUGGCCUCCCAAAGUGCUGGGAUUACAGGUGUAAACCACCACACCAGGCAAAGAGACAGAUUCUUAAUGCUUCCUACAUUACAGCCUUCUCAGAAUUUUCAGCAUAAUUUUCUUUAAAUCUAACAAAGUCAUUUUUCUUCUUAGGUAGAAAAACGAUAUUUUUAUAAUCAGCAAUAUGUACAAAUUUCUUUUUUAAUAUUUUUUGAUUAUGUAUUUCUCUGUCUCUCUUUCUCUCUCUCUCUCUCUCUCUGUGUGUGUGUGUGUGUGUGUGUGUACAUGUAGGAAGGUACGUGGUAUGUGUUUCAGUAUGACAUACUCAAGUUUCAGUUUCAACUUAUAUGAGUUUUAUUAUCUUCUUCUUUCCUGAAUAGCUUCUCAACUUUCUAAACAAAAGCUCUGUCCAAUGUUAGUUAGCUUGUUUGAAAUAAACUCUCUUGCACACAGCGAAAACAGAAUCAUUUCAGCAUUCAGCCAUAUAGAAGAAAACCAUUAUUCCCAGUAAUUGCAUGUUUUUUAUUCUUAUUCUUCAUAAUGAACUACCUGUCCACAACUAUCAUUUCCAACUCAUUGUCUCAUGGAAUUUGGCAGGUUUUCUUUCUCAGAUGACUGGCUAAAUAAUUUGUAAUGAACUUUAAAUAUUGCAUUCUCCUCUAGGAAAGAAAUUUAUGCAUCUUUUACUACUCAAAAUAAAAUUCAAAGUCAUUCAGCUGUCAGAGAUAUAGUGGCAAUUGUAAUUGAGAAACAGCUGUGUUUCUAUUAAUUUAUUCUAAAAUAUUUGCUAAAUAUCUAAAAAAUGUUAGAAUAAAAAUUCCAUACAUUGGAAAUUAAUGCCAAAAUAUCCUUGAUAUUAGCUAUGACAUGGAGAUCACCCACGAUUUAUUUCAGCAUGCUUGGUAAGUAGUGUGAAUAUUUAGCAUCAUAGACCCUACAUGGUUUAAGCGAGAUUAGGUAUGUGGUAGAUAUGGAUAAGCCUGUAUUUCACAAAUAAAUAAAUCACUUUUUCAUGUCUUCA
rnacentral:lncRNA from 1 species